CCCGCUGCUGAUAACAUCUCGAACAAACAUCUUUAACUAAGGAGUCUCUGAGGAAAACUCAGUUAUAAAAAUUCUAAUAAUUUCAUCCACCUUUGUGGCUAAAUAUGUAAGUUAAAUAAGGAAACUGAACGAUUAGCUGGACAAUUUUAAAUCCAAAUUGGCAUUCGGAGACAAUAACUACCGUAUUAAUUCGUCAGAAAAAGGGAAAAUCACCCAAUUCAUGGCAUUGUUUUCGCCCACAAAAUUUCCACCACGUGGCAAAAAUGGAGUCAAAUUUAGAAAACAGUGAUUUAAUGGACCCGUCACCCCCAAUAUCAAUUUGCACCCCUUUGGAGGAACGACGUCAUCACUCUUUUCGUCAUCAUCAUCUCUGAAGCACCCUCGUCUGGAUUAGUGACCUGCAAACCCCACACAUUAUCGAGUAACUUCAACAAUAAGUAAAUUCUCGUCGUCUAUUUCCACAUCAUUUUCACCUAAUCUACAUACUCCAUACUUACCAAUACAUACAUAAACUGCACACGUAUUUAUGUAUGAACAUAUGUACAUACGUACAAAUUAAGCAUGAGCACCGUAUUAUUUAAAUUGUUUGCAUUUCUGAGGUCCAUAAUUUUCGACUUCACGUUUAAGUCAGACUAACAACUCGCCAAACUAAUUACAUUUAUUUAUUUACAGAUGUAUUUAUUGCUAAUAUUUUAAAACAAAAAAUCAAUUUGACGUGAAUAUCUGUGGCGAAGUUGCCAUAAAAGGGCACUAUUUAUUUCUGAAGUUCCAUCUUCCACAAAAUUUUAUUCUUAAUUGUUGCAAGUUUAACUUGACGAUAUUUUAGAAAAUCUUAAAAAGUGUUAUAAUACGCACUAACAAUGGAGG